rnacentral:sRNA from 1 species
GCUGGGCGCGGUGGUGCAUGCCUGUAAUCCCAGUGACUUGGGAGGCUGAGGCAGGAGGAUUGCAAGUUCAAAGCCAGUAUCAGCAAAAACUAGGCACUAAGCAAUUCAGUGAGACCCUGUCUCGG